UUGAAUAAAACUUGGUUGGGUUGUUGCUGGUUCUUUGGAACAUGUGCACGCCUGAUGCCAUUUUUAACCACCUGUGCACUCUUUGUAGGCCUGGAAACCUCUUGAGAGAAAUCUCAGAUUGAGAUUUGCUGUGUGAAAACCAGCUUUUCUUACAUUUCCAAGUCUAUGUUUUUCAUAUACUCCAUAAGAAUGUAAUAGAAUGUUUGUCAAUUGGCCUUUGUGCCUUUAAAACAAAUACAACUUUCAACAACGGAUCUCUUGGCUCUCGCAUCGAUGAAGAACGCAGCGAAAUGCGAUAAGUAAUGUGAAUUGCAGAAUUCAGUGAAUCAUCGAAUCUUUGAACGCACCUUGCGCUCCUUGGUAUUCCGAGGAGCAUGCCUGUUUGAGUGUCAUGAAAUUCUCAACCUUUCUGGCUUUUUGUAAGCUAGUCAGGCUUGGAUUGUGGGAGUUGCUGGCUUCUCUGAAAUCAGCUCUUCUUAAAUGCAUUAGCAAAAUUUUUGCUGACCAUCUCUGGUGUGAUAAUUAUCUAUGCCAUUGAAAUCAGCUCUUUUGAAACUUUGCUUCUAAUAGUCCUGUCAAGGACAACUUUUGACAAU
rnacentral:misc_RNA from 1 species